ACUUUCUCCCUUCUGAGCCCAUAAAAAGAACAGACUGAGUCAGACUCAGACAGAUGUGAGGACCACCAGAUGCGGGAAAGAACUACCCACUUCAGGUCUCUUUGACUCACCAGGACUACCAGCAGCAGGAGGGAGCUACCCAUGUCGGGUCUCCUUGACUCAUCAGGACAACCUGCCUAUGGAAAGGAGCUAUCCACUGUCAGUCUCCUCUGCUGAGAGCUGGACACUCGGGAUGACAUGCCUGCGGUACCCACUUUGGGUCUCCUGAGAGCUGUCGCUCAAUGAAGCUUCUCUCCACCUUACUCACUCUCCAGUUGUCUGUGUACGUCAUUCUUCCUGGAUGCAGGACAAGAACAUGGGACCUGCUGAAUGGCGUGACUGAAAAGGCUGUAACACAAACAGGGCUGAAACUUUGCCCUCAACCCCCUGGCCCAACACACUGUGGGCAAUGAGAAGGAGAGAAGAGCUGCUGCCCUUCAAGGGACCUCAGACCUAGGGGCUCCCCAAGACAGGGCUGUGACAUCCUCUUUGUGGCUCUGUCGUUCCUGGCAUCUCCAAGCUUCUGGGUGCCACUGCAUUCCCCUCAUCCAGACGUGGAUGCCCACAGUGGAAGCCUCGUGUAGUACAUCUGGUUCAGCUGCAGCCUCUGUCAGCAGCUGUGCGGGUGCCUGGAACUGCCCACCCUGUUGCAGCUGGCACACCUGGCUUUGCACAGUGGCUGGACCCUGAGCUUGUGCACACACCCCUCACUGUUCUGUGCCUGGCUUGCCAUUGGGAGGCAUGGGAUCUGGGCCAGCAGCACAAGCCAACCACAGCCUGCCAGGCCGAGUGGGCGGAACAAGCCCAAUGGGCGCAAGCAAUACUCAUGCAGAAGAUGCCACGGGUCACAAAGGUUUUGGGCUGGCAGAGCAAUACUCCAAGGAUCUCAUGACAAUAUUUUGGGGUCUCUCGGUCGCCGGCAAUAAAGGACUCCUGAAGUAGUCUCGGAGUGUGGUGUUUCUCUAUAACUCUCUCGGUUAUGACACUUUGGAGGCCCCAGCGAGAUCCGCCACCGGGUGAGGGCCGGACUCGUUCCGGGCUCCCCCGGAGCAACGGCGGGCUUACAGGGUAGGCGCCACCUAAAGAUGCUCCAGGGCCCCGUAGGCCACCGUCUUCCAGAGGGGAACGGAUCAACUGCUGGUGUGCCCAACCAAAUUCAACUCCUGAGUCCUCAGUCUCCGGUCCCGGGAAGGUAUCAAGGGAGCCACUCGAAAACCCAUGAAUCUGUCGAAGACAACUGAAGUGGUCCAGGGGCCCGAUGAGUCACCAGGAGCGUUUCUAGAAUGCCUCCAAGAGGCCUAUUGGACUUAUACCCCUUUUGACCUGGCAGCUCCCGAGAAUAGCCGUGCUAUUAAUUUGGCAUUUGUGGCUCAGGCAGCCCCUGAUAGAAGAAAGUUACAAAAGCUGUAGGGAUUUGCUGGAAUGAACACCAGCCAACUUUUAGAGAUAGCCCAGAAAGUUUUUGACAA
rnacentral:lncRNA from 1 species